rnacentral:rRNA from 1 species
AUUGAACGCUGGCGGCAUGCCUUACACAUGCAAGUCGAACGGCAGCACGGGGCAACCUGGUGGCGAGUGGCGAACGGGUGAGUAAUGCAUCGGAACGUACCUUUCAGUGGGGGAUAACGUAGCGAAAGUUACGCUAAUACCGCAUAUUCUGUGAGCAGGAAAGCAGGGGAUCGCAAGACCCUGCGCUGAUUGAGCGGCCGAUGUCAGAUUAGCUAGUUGGUGAGGUAAAGGCUCACCAAGGCGACGAUCUGUAGCGGGUCUGAGAGGAUGAUCCGCAACACUGGAACUGAGACACGGUCCAGACUCCUACGGGAGGCAGCGGUGGGGAAUUGUGGACAAUGGGGGCAACCCUGAUUCAGCCAUGCCGCGUGAGUGAAGAAGGCCUUCGGGUUGUAAAGCUCUUUCGGCCGGGAAGAAAUCGCACGGGCUAAUACCCUGUGUGGAUGACGGUACCGGAAUAAGAAGCACCGGCUAACUACGUGCCAGCCGCUGCGGUAAAAC